GACGAACGCUGGCGGCGUGCUUAACACAUGCAAGUCGAGCGGAGCGGCGAACGGGUGAGUAACGCGAGAGUAACUGACCCCCUCUCUGGGAUAACAGUUGGAAACGGCUGCUAAUACCGGAUAGUGGGGGAUGACUCGCGUCCUAUCAGCUUGUUGGUGGGGUAGUGGCCUACCAGGGCGACGACGGGUAGCCGGCCUGAGAGGGCGACCGGCCCCAUUUGGCUGAGGUACGGCCCAAACUCCUACGGGAGGCAGCAGUGGGGAAUAUUGCACAAUGGGGGAAACCCUGAUGCAGCAACGCGCGUGAGUGAAGAAGGUUUUCGGAUCGUAAAGCUCUGUUGUUAAGGGAGAAUGGAAAGUUCAUGCUGUGACGGUACUUACCCAGAAAGGGACGGCUAACUACGUGCCAGCAGCCGCGGUAAUAC
rnacentral:rRNA from 1 species